rnacentral:piRNA from 1 species
UGGACCUCAUUUUCUACUUUCUACGGGGAAA